AUAAAAUAGAUAAAUUAAUAAAGAACAUUCCAAUAUAUGACUUUUAGAAGUUUCAAGGAGGGUUCAGAAAUUGUUUUGGUCCAAAACUUUGGGCUAAUUUGAAUGGCAUGUUUUGCAAGGGAACAAAACAGAGCACAUUUGUCAUUGUCUCUUUACGUGUCCUGAACAAUCUUUAAUAUCGGUCUUGCCUGCUUCGAUCUGUAAUAGUCCAUUAUAUUUAAUUGUCAUGCAGAUUCCUUUAUCCCAUAUACCCUCUUGUUUGUGUUUCUGCUUCUGCUGUCAUUGAGAGUUUUCCUGAUCUUUUCCGAGACAAAUAUAAUCCCUACUAUAAUUCUAUUAUAGUUAUGAUGGCCAAAUUUCUUAGACCUGUGGCCCUGAGCCUCAUAUUAUGUGCCUCACAUUCACGUACAUUCUCAUUGAUCAAUGGCUAUGCUGCUCCAAUGGAGGUUUACAAGAUCUUGGAGCACCAUGAUGAUGCAGGAACUGUGCUUGAAAAUUAAGUGCAAGUUGAUGUGAAUGACAAUGUCCUGGAGAUCAUAUGGGAAGAUAAUAAUUAAAACAUAAAGGUUAUAGGGAUGAUAAGGAGAAGGAAGAGUUGGACUUUAAGGGUAAAAAUGUGUCAAAUCUAGUGAGACAGGUGACCGAGAUUCCGUUUAACAAUUUUCUUUAUUGCUGGAACAAGUCUUAACCAAGAUCAAGAUCAAAGUACUUCACUAAGUUAUAUAUGCAGGCAUUGCAAUGAGAGGUGAUGAUGAUUUGGGAUUAUAUUCUCACCAGGAUGAAUUUUGUUUUAGAAAUUGUAAUACUUUGUGUGUGUCUCUGUGUGUGUGUUUUUUUAUGUAUUAAAUUACAUAUUGAAUCAAUGUUUAUGUAUUAAAUUAAA